GGCCUCUUGGACGAGGACGCCGAUUUUCUGGUCGCGGAGAUGACGUCCUAUGGCGAACAAGCGUUCGGAUCCGCUUGGAAGCCGC
rnacentral:tRNA from 1 species